UGGUUCUGGCAUCGAUGAAGAACGCAGCGAAAUGCGAUAAGUAAUGUGAAUUACAGAAUUCCGUGAAUCAUCGAAUCUUUGAACGCACAUUGCGCCUUUUGGUAUUCCGAGAGGCAUGCCUGUUCGAGCGUCAUUUGUACCCUCAAGCUCUGCUUGGUAUUGGAGGUCAUCCCAGUGGGGUGCCCCCGAAAGUCAGCGGCGACGUAGCCGGCUCCCUGGCGUAGUGACUGCUGUCGCCCCGGAGUCGGUCGUGCGUCCGCCGGACAACACCCAACCAUUAAAUCGACCUCGGAUCAGGUAGGACUACCCGCUGA
rnacentral:misc_RNA from 1 species